rnacentral:rRNA from 1 species
GCCAUGCAUGUCUCAGUGCAGCCGUACGCGCUCGCGCGUCUAGGUGAAACCGCGAAAGGCUCAUUAAAUCAGUUAUGGUUCCUUGGAUCGUACCACUCAGUUACUUGGAUAACUGUGGUAAUUCUAGAGCUAAUACAUGCCGACAGAGUUCCGACCGCCUCGUGCGGGAGGAACGCUUUUAUUAGAUCAAAACCCAUCGGCGCGGCUCUCGGGCCACGCCGACAACACUCGGUCCCCUUCGCGGGGGCCGACCAAGUGGUGACUCUGAAUAACUUUGUGCUGAUCGCACGGUCUCAGUGCUGGCGAUGCAUCUUUCAAAUGUCUGCCUUAUCAACUGUCGAUGGUAGGUUAUGCGCCUACCAUGGUGGUAACGGGUGACGGGGGAUUAGGGUUCGAUCCCGGAGAGGGAGCCUGAGAAACGGCUACCACAUCCAAGGAAGGCAGCAGGCACGCAAAUUACCCACUCCCAGCUCAGGGGAGGUAGUGACGAAAUAUAACGAUACGGGACUCAUCCGAGGCCUCGUAAUCGGAAUGAGUACACUGUAAAACGUUUAACGAGGAUCCAUUGGAGGGCA